CGUCUCGGAGCAGCAUGGUAGAGCAGCAGGCUCUUAACCUGAGGGUCGAGGGUUCGAAUCCCUCCGGGCCCG
rnacentral:tRNA from 1 species